AUGCUGCUUCAGCUUCGGGAGCCUGAUUCCCGGCUGAUCCUCUGCCCGGAGUUCGCUGUGCGUGCCUGGCCCCUCGCGUGGGCUGAUCCUCCUGGCCACAGCACUGUUCCCUCUGCCCAGCUGGACUCCUCCCCACGGGUCCGCCGGGGCCCAGCUCCAGGGCGGCGGGCAGGGUGGUGGCUCUACGCAGGGGGUCUCUCCUCAUCAUCCUUCCGCCCCCCUUUUCCUUCUUCAGCCGCUCCCGCGGCAGGUGGAAGUUCCUCGGCCAGGGAUCGAGUUCGAGCCAGAGCAGCGACCCACGCCACAGCAACUUGGGAUCCUCAGCUCACAGCGCCGGGCCGGGGUCAAGGACAAGCCGGAUCGUUAAUCCACCAGGCCUCGUCUUCCUUUCACGAGGCUGUUUCUGUUAUUUUUUUCUUUUCUUUUUUUUUUUUUUUUUUUGCUAUUUCUUUGGGACGCUCCUGCGGUAUAUGGAGGUCCCCGGGUUAGGAGUCGAUUCGGAGCCACAGCCACUGGCCUACGCCAGAUCCACAGCAACGCGGGAUCCCAGCCACGUCUGCAACCUGCACCACAGCUCACGGCAACGCCGGAUCGUUAACCCACUGAGCAAGGGCAGGGACCGAACCCGCAACCUCAUGGUUCCUAGUCGGAUUCAUUAACCACUGCGCCACGACGGGAACUCCCUCUUUUAUUUUUUUCUAUGCUCAAGAAGGGUUGCUUUUGAAAAUGAAAACAAUUACUUGUAAUGACUGCUGGGGACUCUGCCCCGGAUCGUCCGUGUCGGAAAAUGAGACGCCUGAGCACGGGGAGGCCUCGGCAAGGCGCUCUCCUUCUGCACGAGGGCGCGGGGGCUCAAAAAGUGCGCGCCCCGAACAAAGGACCCUCCCCGUUUCUCCGUAAGGCGGGGGAUGGGCCCGUCCCCUUCCCACGGGUCGGGUCAGGGCGCACUUUCUUCCCGGGGGGCUCGUUUGAAACAUUGUUCCUGGGAGAAGAGGGAAAGAGGAGGGGGUCGCAGGAGGGCGUUUCGGCUGAAGCCGGAGCACAACAGAGUCCCCAAGGCUUCCUGUGACAGAGAAGACGCGGUGUCCUCUCCACAUGGUGACGCUGAGGACACCGAGUCCUGGGUCGGAGUCAUUGCUACUGCGAAGCUCACCUCGUCCCGUUCCCCCCCCACCCCCAGGGCGCCCCGGCCUCGUUUCUCGGGGCUCCGUCUGCCAGGGGCCUGCUGAGCCCCUGUGCACUUUCUUCAGGACACUUCAUCCUGGUCUGUGGCCCUGCGUGCGGUGCUGCCACUACUGGAAUGACAACUCUCACCCCCACUGGCUCCAUGAGAGCAAGGACCGUGUCUUUUCUUCUGUAAAACAUCCAUUUCAUCAUGAAGUAAAUCCAUCAUGAUAAAAAGGCAUCCAGUUAAAGUGUCCUUGAAUGAGUCUGGGCAGAUGCACACACCCUCGAACCCCACCCACCCUCGCAAUCAAGAUCCAGCAUCUCCACCUCGCCCCUGCAGCGACCCCGGUCAGGCACAGUCAACCAAGGCUCUGUUUUCUGCUGCUAUAAAUUCAUUUUGCCUGACCCAGAGCUUCACAUAAACGAAGCCCUGCAGGAUCUGGCUUCUCUUCCUCAGCAUAAUGCUUUUGGGGUGGAUUCUCCAAUUGCUGUGUGCUCAGUGGUCCUUUGUUUACUGCCCCUCAUACGGAGGUGCCUCCACUGGCAACACUCCAUCUGUUCGUGGGCAUCUGGGUUGGUUCCAUUUUUAGUCACAUGAAUAAAGCUGACAUGGGCAUUCA
rnacentral:lncRNA from 1 species